rnacentral:sRNA from 1 species
AAUUGGUCUUCUGCGUUAGGGAUAGCAACGGCAUCCUUUUAUUUUUUCUUUAAAAAAUAAAAGAUAAAGUGGAUAGCCCGACCGAAG